GGGGGGGGGGGGGGGGCUGCACAGAUCAAAGCUGUGGUGUUGUGUUUAAAUGGCGGAGCAGAAUGAUUUCAAAUUGAUUAUUUCGGGGGGAGGUGCACGAUGUAGUGAACUCAGUCUGAGAUGUCGGGGACACUCGUGAGGUGCUUUGAGAUGUGACCUGAACAAGACAAAAACACGGGAAAUAUUCUGAUGUUGUAUAAAUGAGAUGAUGCAAAGUCUCAGUGUGGCAGUGUUUUAUUAAUCAGUUAAUCAGUCCUGAAAUGAUCUAAAUAUACUCUGUCUGAUGAGCCUGUGUUUGUUAUUAUAUCAUAAACACAAAUUAGUGAACACGGCGGACAGUUUCCAACACAACAUAAUGCACUCAGAUUAGGCCUCAUCAUUCGAACGCUCACAUUGCAAAAGAAUAAACCGGUUGAUUUAUGAAAGCCGGCAUCACAGUCUUUUAUUUAGCGUUGAGUCGAGGUUAACGAACAGAACAUCUCUCUAGGAACCAGAAUACUCAGGUAAACGCUUCAGCUGAAGGAGGUGAGUGUUGCAUCCGUUCGUUCUCACUAAUUAUCGCCUCACCCGGGUGGGGGUCAACGGUUGUGGUUGAUGGUGCAGUAGCUGGACUGUGCCGAUCCGCUUUGAUAAGACUGCCGGUAGUUAACAACCGAUUGAAUGCUCAAAAUAUAUAUAUAUAUAUAUAUUUUUUCAACUCUCUCUGAAGAGUUGAAAAAAUGCAAAAUCCUUUCUCUCCUCUGCGGAGGCCCAGACUCAAAGCUCCAGGCUGAAUUUGAAAGGCAGUGAAAUGUCAAAAUUUCCAUGUUGUCACUUCCAGAGAGGGACAGACACCGGCUGUAUUUCAGGGGCUCGUGUUUGAAGCUCCCCUCUUUCAUUUUAGUUUUUCCACUUCGUGAGGAUAUCAGCGAAGUGAGGAGAAGGACAAUGUACAAUCUGGAUGGGAAACUUGUAUUGUGUCCUCUCAAAUGGAACGUGAAUGAAAAACAGAAUAGUCACCAGUGUGUGUGCCCUUUCAUCAGGAGCGUGGCCUGCACCAACAUCAAUGGUAACGAUUCCUCCUUCAUCAAAGGGUGGAAACGCUGCCGGCCGCACGCAUUAAGUCUGCCUCCAACCAACCCAAGAUCUGCUUUGCACUCUUUCCCCGCGUGGUUCUCAAUAUCAGAAAGCGCAUGAGCCGCAUCCAAAGAGAGGGGAGGACGUUUUCAUGUCACGGUUGUAAUUUAAAUUGGACUUCUGUUACAAUUACAUACAUAUAUACAUAUUUUGUGCAUUUUUUUCGCCUGGUACUGACUGAACUGAGCGUUCAUUUAUUUAAUCUCCAGAUCCGUCAGAUCGCUAACGGAAAAUAGGACACAUUUUUGGCACGCUGUUGACAGGCUCAGCGAAGUGGGACGCACCCCACGAUGAAGUACAGCAGCAACUUAGAAGACACAGAACAAGAAUGCUGAAUGAAAACAUACAUGUCUAAUAAUGGGGCCGAAUGUUACCAUCCUAACGGGGCCGAUAACGAGCUUACUGUACGGAGACGCGUUUGAUUUGUUGGCGUGUCAGCGCCGCCGCGCCUCAGCGGCCCGAGAGAUGGAGGCGCUGCCAAAAGGGAGGGUGGGGGGGAAGGUCGGCGUGACGAAUGACACGGCCGAGGGUUUGAUUAGGUUUUUAUCUGCUCUCGGGACUCUCGGGGACGCACUGAGAUUGAUGGAGGCGGCGGGGCGCCGGUUUUAUUCGGACGCCGCGUGCUCGGCUGGGACGCGGCGUGCCAGCUGACAGAUGAGCGGGCCCCCUCUCCUCUUAGAGACUCACUUGUCUUUAGUUAUCUCCCGCCAGCUGCGCAGCUGGGGAAAAAAACAGCUGGCAAAAACAGCAGGCAGAACUUUUUCUCUUUUUCCGUCUGUGAUGAACAUAAACCGAGUUGGUCCAGUCGGCCGAACCCGGACGGGAAGUUUCUGAGCGACCCACAUUCAUGAAGUAGUAAUCCCAAAAUCUAUGCACGACAACAGCAUCGAUCGACCGCAUUUAGUCCCACCGCGUUCAAGCGUUGCCGCCAUGAGGCGGGGGAAGCACUCACGUCCAUGCCAUGGAUUUUCUUUAAGGUGCAAGGUCACCCUGAGGAACACUGUCCUCGUGAUGAAAGAGAAACAUCCAAACAUUUGUAAUGAGAUGAUUGGAAGCAGGUUGUGCACGAGGAACAUGCAGAUUUAUGCUGUAGGGAGAAGGAGUGUCUGAGCUUAUUUAUGUGUGCUGGAAAUAACUUAAAAGAUAAUCACAUGUGAGUAAUCACCUUAAUGGAUGGGAAGAGAAUCUUUGAAGAAUUCGGAAUGGAAAACUUGAGACACUUGGGAUUGUUCAAAGAUAAAGUACAUACGUAGCUUAAACAUCAGUACUUUACAUUUUUAAAAGCAGAAAUAAUAACGUGGUGUUCGUGGCUCACAAAUACAAACGGAUGGGAAUAAACAUUGGUUCCACAAAUGAAUAAAACAUGCGCAAAUGUAAAAAGAUUUGCAUUUUCUGCAGCGUUUUGAGUGGAAAAAUAAAUCCUUUUGUGAGCUUUGAUUUGUCAGCGAUGCCGAGACGUUACUGAGUCGUUGUUGUGCCGCAGAUAGUAAUUAUGUUCCCUCAGAAAAAACGGUUUUCAAAAAACAUAAACGAUUCCAUCAAACCCAUUGGCUUAUUUAGUCUUUGCGUUGUAUGUUGAGUGGAAAGCGCGCGAAGGUGACGUGAUGUUUGCACGUUUCUGCGCGAGGUGACGACCAAAUAUUUGCGUUUGUGCCACUCUGACGGGCUAAAAUCCCAAAGGAAAACAAACCGUCGCUUUUCCCUUUUCUUAAUUUACCGACACGGCAGAACCACUCUGCGGCGUGUGCGGUCCGUCAGCAUCCAUUCCCCUCACUUACCGCUAAUGGCCUGUGUUGAGCAACAAGCAGGCGCGCUCCAAACAGAAGCCGCCGCUAAACGGCCGUGCCUAAUAAAGCCGGGCUUUUUCCAAAACGGAGAGCCGGCGCAUCCAGAGUGUUGAAAACCGCCAGCCUAAUCGGCCUUGAUGAGAGCCAGUGGGCAGAGCUCGCGCAUCCACCGCGGCGGGAAACCAAAUGGGCACACGUGGCGCUAAAGCGGACACGGAUCGCCGAUAUUGACGAAGCCUUGACUUGCAGACGCGGGAGACGAGCGAGGGUGGUUCGGACAACGGGCCCGACGUUUUUCUAAACCAAGCUCCGUUGACGUCUAGUCUCAUCGCGGGACGUAGCCCUGCUGACAUUUGGUUUGGUGACCGUUUGCACGAAGUGCAGUGCUUUCGGGCGGGGGUCUGGUUGCGGAGAGCGUUUGCCGCGGCUACUUUGGCAGCAGAACCGGCAUCCUCCCCGGAGUCCGUGGCCUUUGGGUGUGAUUAAGCAACGCUGGCAUUUAUGGAGCCAGUGAAUUUGGACGCCCUCGCCGCGUUCAUCGCGCCCCUCGUCGAGGUUUCCACUCGUCGAUGCUGACAAUAACCGCAGCUGCCUCGCCCCGCGAGCUUUCGCCGCCUGUUCGAUGGACGGCCAAAUUGGUCUUUGUGCCAAUUGAAAAAUCUGCUCCUGAGGAUCUCACUUGACGAUCGGCACGGAGCUCAUAGACACGUGCACCUGGAACCUGUGUGUGUGUGUGUGUGUGUGUGUGUGUGUGUGAGUCACUGGUGCCGCACACAAGUCGGUAUUGGCAAUGAUACAUUUCCCUUCAGCCAAAUAAGAUACUAUUUGGUCCAUUGAAUUGACAUUAGCCGGCUUAUUUUUCAAAGGGCUCCUAGGCCAGCAGGAGGGGGGCACUUUGGAGGGUUUCUGUGGCGCAUCCAGACGAGCGUGUUUGCCAUCUCGGUCCAGGCAGCAGCUGUGUUUGGCGAGCUGAAGUCAAUGGCUGACAUCUAAGCUGCUGAAUCUACUGUACCCACAGGCAGCCUUGGAGCACCAGACCCAUCCUGGAGUCACAGCCUGGUGUGCACACGCAAAUGAGCAUUAGUUAAGGGUCAGCCUUUAAUUACUUUUGACAUGUUCCUGCACCUAUUCAUCCGUGACAUGAAUCGUCUUGCAUGUGUGCUUUCGGGUUUCUCUCCCUUAGACACAAAAGAAGCCGCUCUUCACGCAAAGCUUUCCAGAAAUUGUGCUGUAACAUUAUGGUCAGAUUUCUAGAACAUGAAGAAUUUAACAGCAUCAAGCUGAAAUUUUGGGCUGUGUGCCCAGAUUUUUUUAAACAAUCCCAAAUUACAUUAGAACAUUUUCUCAUAGCGCUACCUAUUAGCAUAAAAUGUGAUUAUUCUAGAAUUUCCGAUCUGCUGGUGUCCUGUCAGCUUCAAUGAGCCACAUUUCCCUCUGUUUAACCCACUUCAAAUUCCCGCGGGGAUUUUCUAUGACCCAACACGGUGAAAUAUCUCAGGUUUUAGGUUGAGAAGAAGGUGAACGUGGUGCUGGGAUUUGACGUUCAGCACAACGCCUGCUUGGGUCUAAUCGGCAAAAGCCGCUUUUAUGGUUUGUUUAUUGUGCUUUAACCACCAAAACCCCUCGAGACACGAUAUAAUUACAUCAUAUGAUAUUCAGACUGCACACUAUUAAUAAUUGAGUGGGGCGCAGGUUUCAAUGCAAACAUAGAUGCAGGCUGGAUUAGAUGCCUCAUGCAGCGAUAUCUCGGCCUAUCGUGUGUGGAAAAUGGGAAAACGUGAAAGUGGUUAUUAUAGUUUUGUAUUAAAACACAAUUGAAAAAAAGAAGGGUUUCAAAUAUAAUAUAUUACCUUUUGAGCAUGAAUCACAUCUGUGAGGAUGAGGCAAUGCUAUGAGAGGAAUGAACCUGAGCCGUCCAACGCGUACCCGCUCUCGUGGCGUCUGCUCAGACCUGUCAGCUUCCCCUCGCGCCCGAGUCCUGGGAAGAGGAGGAGGAGGAGGAGGAGGAGGUGCUUCACCACAGGCCAGAGCGUCCUCCACCCAGCCCCCUGCUCUUCUGGCUCCAAACGCAGCAGUAAAAAGGUCGAAGCAUCCUCUGCCGCCUGUCGCUAUGUUCGCCCUUUCUGCUCGCCAAGAUCCCCCAUUGACCUCCGGUUCUAUAAAUUAUAUUCAUGCAUAUAUAGAAUGAUGAUGCAGAUAGAGGAGCGUACGAUGUCUGAGCCAUGUUUGACGGACACACAGCCGGGAGAAAACAGGGACCCCAUGGUGGCCUUUUUAUUCUUAUUAAACGGCAAUCCUCUGCUCCUCUUCUCUGUAAUUAUGCAUUCAAGUGACACACUUAUUUAUACCGUGCAGUGGGUCGCCCAACUGCCACGGAUCCUCUGAUUGGUGCAACUGCUUUUCUAGGUCAGACAGUGGAUCCAAAACACACACAGACUCACAUUUUCUCUUCCUCUCACACACACACACACACACACACACACACACACAGCCAAACGCUUCCACUGGGGAAGGUGAUGUGCAUUAUUCGCCUGGUUGCUCCUCUUCCUCCCAAAUCUAAAUAUAAACAUGACUCACGCCAUGCGAUGGUAAUUGCAGUGACUCAAGAUGGCGGCAUACCUUCAGCGGCUCUUCACCAAGUGUGACAUGUCCUCCCUCCCCGAGUCUUUUUCUUUUUCUCCCGUUUGUUAUUCAGUCCUUUAAAUGUCCGCAAAAAUACAGCUGCUUUUGCUUGGGACCAAUUCAUCGGUGAUAAACGUGGCUCGUGCCGGCAGCCGCGUGAUGCUCAGCGCCCCCCCCCUCCCCCCCUCCCGAGGGUGCUGAUCAGGUGGGUGCUCAUCUGGCGACGUAUGUAAGUGUUGAUGAGGCAGCGACCUCGAUUUUUAACAGUAUGCAUUCCUAUGGUGUGCUUCUUUUUGAAGGAAGGGAGGCUGACCUCUCACUGACCGCUCCAUCAUCUCAUUGGUCCUUGUUUCAUUGCUCGAUGUAUUUCAGCUCCUUUGCCUCCACCACCAUCCAUCACACCUCGUUGCAACACAUCCCUUCUCUCCACCUCCCAGAGUAGGAAGAAGAUGACUUCCUUUUGAAAGGCGUAGAAAAGCUCGGUCCCGCGCUGUGCUUGUCCUCGGGGGGUCUGGUUGUUUCCAUAUCCAGGCAGGCUGGAAACUGAAAGCCGGCUGCCUGAAGGAACUAAACCUUCUAAGUGCUCUCUGUCGCUUUGCAUUUCCAGCUUUGUAUUAACAUUGCACGCUGCAGAGCGGGGAAGGGGGCGGUGGCUGAAAAAGGAGAAAACCUUCAGGCUACAAUUCAGCUCAAAGCACCGAUCUCAAUGACCCGGGAAAAGUUCUGUCCAGCAAAAGAUUCUUGAUUCACAUUUCAUUAGAACCUGAUCACCACAUAAAACGCUUGCUUUAACACGCAGCUGUGAGUUGGUAAAAGCCUCAAUUGCUUUUUUUUAAGGGAAGAUGAAGCAGGCAGAAGGACCAGGUGUCCUCUGGCCUUUGGUAGGUGAUACAUGAGCGUCAAUGAUCUGGUCUCAACUUUCUCUCACAUUUAGAGAAACUUAUUGCACGGUUCCUUUGACGGUAUUGUAAUUGUAUGAUUGCAGCAAGAUUUUCCUCAAAAGUCCAAAGUGUGUGUGUGUGUGUGUGUGUGUGUGUGCGCAACCACGGGCCUUAUUUAGGCUGAAAGAUGAGCCGAUGAGCCCUGCAAGCCGAUGAAUAUGAAUUCAUUUGGUGGCACUUAGUGCUGCUCCUUUACACCGCUCCCCUCCCUCCAACGGCCCCAUCCACACCUCUCCUCCCUCCACCUUCUCACUGGUGCAGCAGUGCAAUCUUCUCAUGCAAAUAUCCCGGGAGGUGGGUGGGCAGUUGAGGUGGCUAACUUGGGAACAUAAAUUACAUUUGCAUGUGAUUUGAUGGGAACGCGGGGCUCAGUGGGAGCACUUUGCAGGAAUAACAAGUGAGAAGACGGGCUUGAUUGCACUCCUCUCUUUACUGACUUUGAGGUUUCUCGCUCUGUUUUUUUUGUUUUUUGCCUCAUAGUUUUGACCCAAAUUGUCACGUUUACCCUCAGUUGCCUCUUCAUGAGGUAUACGGGGUGAAGGUAGUCACGUCGAACACAAGGAGGCUGAUUUAACUUCCCUUUGGAGACUUUAGCUUCUGAUGCCUUUCAUUACAUGUAGGUGUUUUUUCUAACAUUAUCAAUAUAAAAAUAUAACAAGAAGGAAGAAUUUAUGCAUUCAAUGUUUCUUUGAGACACCAUC
ensembl:lncRNA